rnacentral:rRNA from 1 species
UGGAUGGCAUCAAUCAACCCACAAGAUGCUCAGAAGGAUAUCCACCAAAACCUAGUGGCUAAUACAUGGUCGAAGCAGUCUGCCUCGUUGUGUGAAUCUAUGGCUCUGUCAGUUUGGCUCUCUCUCAGCCUGUGGUUGAGGGUGCUAUCUCACUCAUGAUGGUGAUUGACACACCACACCAGCCACAGCUGUGGAGACCAAGCAUUGGAUGGCCUGAGCCUGUGGUGGAUUGCAACCAGCUGCAUUGAAGACGAGCACCCAUGUGUGUGUGUAACAGCACACAGUGGGUAGUGUGUGUAUGACUGUUGACUCAGGCUGGUCUUCAAGUGGUUUCAGUGAGGCAUCUCUCAAUGUGAUGUCUGAUUGAGUGUAUUGGCUGUGUCUGGACAACUGCAUUGGCAGAGUGGUGUCUCUCAACACCUGUGAGGCACAAAGCUAUGGCUUGCUUGAUCACACGAGCUUCUGACCUAUUAGCCUUUGACUGUGGUGUAUUGGCCCCCAGUGGCAGUGAUGGGUAACAGAGAAUCAGGGUUCUAUUCUGGAGAGGCAGCCUGAGAGAUGGCUACCAAGACCAAGGUCUGCAGCAGGCACGUAAAUUGCCCAAUGCUCAAGCAAUACUCAGUGAGGCAGCAACGAACUGCAGCAAUCCCUCUGACACUUCGUGGUCAGUGGGACUUGGAAUGGAUGCAAUGCAAACACAGUGAUGAGUAUCAACUGGAGGGCAAGUCUGGUGCCAGCAGCCGCGGUAAUUCCAGCUCCAUGGGUGUACACUGACAUUGCUGCUGUUAAAACACUUGUAGUCUGAUGCUGGGCUGUAGGUCUGUCACGAGGCCACCACAGGACCUGUGAGCCACUGUGACAUCCUCACAGCUGUCUCCUCGGCUUGUGGCUGGAAUCUACCUCUGACAGUAAGUCUUACACCCAUCUGCUGUGAAGCAAUAGAUGGCUGAUAGCACUCCUGCUUUCAAGUCUCCUUUGGUGGGGAUCGAUGCUGCUGUGUACACUCAACACAUGCCCAAAGCUUACAAUGCCAUAGGUCAGUCUCCCCAGCCAUGACUCUCUCAGCAGCCAUGGUGGAUCUUGUGAGACACUCUGACCCAGCCUCCGGAGUCAGCCAUCACAGUCACUGUGGAGAAAUCAGUGUGCAUCAAGCAGCCAACCAAUCAUCCUGUGGUAUGUGAAGCCUCUGACUGUACACAAAACCAUGUGCAUUGGAGUGUCUCUGCAAUGCCCUCGUGGCAGGAUGUCAGUCCAUGGAAUGACCAAGCAUUGACCUGAUGUGGCUGUGGAGUUGUGCUCUGGCCUUGGUGCCCAUAUGGGACAGUGUGGUGACAGUCUUGUUCCAUGGAUGGCUCAGCUGUGUGGGUUCCACAGCCUUGGUGGACUUGGCUCAAAUGUAUACCAACUGCCGAGGACUGGGGGCCUGCACUCUGAGUCAGCUGCGUGAAGCCCUGUACUGCCAUCUAUCAGCCAUGAUGGGACUGUUUGGAGUGAAGGAUACUGCAGCGCUAGCGGUGAAAUGCUCAGACCGUUGCAAGAUCAACGGCAGCGAAGGCGCUCUGCAAAGGCUUGUCUGUCGAUCAAGAAUGAGAGUGUGGGGAGCGAAGAUGAUCAGACACCGUUGUAGUCCACCACUGUAAACCAUGCCUGCUCAGCAUUGAAGCUGCAAGUCUCUCUUAGCUGACUGCUCCAUUGCUCCAUCCCCAGCAACGAGAAAUCCAAGCCUAUGGGUUCAUGGGGAAGUACUGUCACAAGGCUGAAACUUAAAGGAAUUGACGGAAUGGCACCACCAGGUGUGGAGUGUGCGGCUUAAUUUGACUCAACGCGGGGAAGCUUACCAGGCCAGGACGUUGCUUGGAUGGACAGAUUGAGAGCUCUUUCCUGAUUCCUUGGCUGGUGGUGCAUGGCCGCUCCUGAUUGGUGGAGUGAUUUGUCUGGUUGAUUCCGUUAACGAGUGAGAUCUCUGCCUUCCACUAAGCCCCAGCCAUGCAUUGAAGUAGAGCUCUGACCUGCAGUCUGUGAGACCUGUAAUGAGUUCCCUGUGGCCUGUAUGCAACGAUCACCUGUGGUUGGUGGCUCGAAUGGACUGAGUACUACAAGCUUCUCUGAGGUGCUGUGUGUGCUACCAAACACAUGCAUGCCAGAGCCAACAGCAGGUCUGUGAUGCUCCAAGAUGCCCUGGGCUGCACGCGCACUACAUUGGUCUGGUGAAUGAGUCCUCCUUUGGUCUGCUGUAGCAUCAAUCUACACAGACAUUGCCUGACUGGAAGUGGUUGGGAAAUCAUGCGAACCCAAUGGCCGUACUGGGGAUAGAUGCUUGCAACUGUCUGCCUUCAACGAGGAAUACCUAGUAAGCUCAGUCAUCAACUGAAUG